GGUGAUGUGGCUCAGUGGUAGAGCGUCUCUUCCCAGCAUUAGAGGCGGUCGAUAGAAUCGUCCGAGGCUUUGUCCGCUUGUAGCGGCGAGGCCAUCCUCAUUGUAAACAUAAGAGAAGGUCCCUAGUUCAAUCCUAGGCAUCACCA